rnacentral:rRNA from 1 species
AUUGAACGCUGGCGGCAUGCCUUACACAUGCAAGUCGAACGGCAGCACGGGAGCAAUCCUGGUGGCGAGUGGCGAACGGGUGAGUAAUAUAUCGGAACGUGCCCAGUCGUGGGGGAUAACGUAGCGAAAGCUACGCUAAUACCGCAUACGAUCUACGGAUGAAAGCGGGGGAUCGCAAGACCUCGCGCGAUUGGAGCGGCCGAUAUCAGAUUAGGUAGUUGGUGAGGUAAAGGCUCACCAAGCCGACGAUCUGUAGCUGGUCUGAGAGGACGACCAGCCACACUGGGACUGAGACACGGCCCAGACUCCUACGGGAGGCAGCAGUGGGGAAUUUUUGGGACAAUGGGCGCAAGCCUGAUCCAGCAAUGCCGCGUGCAGGA